CAGUAGCCGCGGGAAUACAGAGGGUGCGAGCGUUAAUCGGAUUUACUGGGCGUAAAGCGUGCGUAGGCGGCUUCUUAAGUCGGAUGUGAAAUCCCUGAGCUUAACUUAGGAAUUGCAUUCGAUACUGGGAAGCUAGAGUAUGGGAGAGGAUGGUAGAAUUCCAGGUGUAGCGGUGAAAUGCGUAGAGAUCUGGAGGAAUACCGAUGGCGAAGGCAGCCAUCUGGCCUAAUACUGACGCUGAGGUACGAAAGCAUGGGGAGCAAACAGGAUUAGAUACCGCGUAGUCCCUGUCUCUUAUACA
rnacentral:rRNA from 1 species